AGCGAACGCUGGCGGCAGGCUUAACACAUGCAAGUCGAGCGGGCACUUCGGAGUCAGCGGCAGACGGGUGAGGAACACGUGGGAACGUACCCGUAGGUUCGGAAUAAUGCUGGGAAACGAGGGCUAAUACAGGAUAAGCCAUGUUGGUGAAAGGCUUGCUGUCGAAGGAUAGGCCCGCGUCGGUUUAGCUAGGUGGUGGGGUAAUGGCCUACGAAGGAGACGAUCAGUAGCUGGUCUGAGAGGAUGAUCCGCCACACUGGGACUGUGACACAGCCCAGACUACUACGGGAGGCAGCAGUGGGGAAUAUUGGACAAUGGGCGCAAGCCUGAUCCCGCCAUGCCGCGUGAGUGAUGAAGGCCUUAGGGUUGUAAAGCUCUUUUGUCCGCGACGAUACUGACGGUACCGGAAGAAUAAGCCCCGGCUAACUUCGUG
rnacentral:rRNA from 1 species